rnacentral:rRNA from 1 species
AACGAUGAACCUCACUUGUGGGGGGAUUAGUGGCGAACGGGUGAGUAACACGUGAGUAACCUGCCCUUAACUCUGGGAUAAGCCUGGGAAACUGGGUCUAAUACCGGAUAUGACUCCUCAUCGCAUGGUGGGGGGUGGAAAGCUUUUUGUGGUUUUGGAUGGACUCGCGGCCUAUCAGCUUGUUGGUGAGGUAAUGGCUUACCAAGGCGACGACGGGUAGCCGGCCUGAGAGGGUGACCGGCCACACUGGGACUGAGACACGGCCCAGACUCCUACGGGAGGCAGCAGUGGGGAAUAUUGCACAAUGGGCGCAAGCCUGAUGCAGCGACGCCGCGUGAGGGAUGACGGCCUUCGGGUUGUAAACCUCUUUCAGUAGGGAAGAAGCGAAAGUGACGGUACCUGCAGAAGAAGCGCCGGCUAACUACGUGCCAGCAGCCGCGGUAAUACGUAGGGCGCAAGCGUUAUCCGGAAUUAUUGGGCGUAAAGAGCUCGUAGGCGGUUUGUCGCGUCUGCCGUGAAAGUCCGGGGCUCAACUCCGGAUCUGCGGUGGGUACGGGCAGACUAGAGUGAUGUAGGGGAGACUGGAAUUCCUGGUGUAGCGGUGAAAUGCGCAGAUAUCAGGAGGAACACCGAUGGCGAAGGCAGGUCUCUGGGCAUUAACUGACGCUGAGGAGCGAAAGCAUGGGGAGCGAACAGGAUUAGAUACCCUGGUAGUCCAUGCCGUAAACGUUGGGCACUAGGUGUGGGGGACAUUCCACGUUUUCCGCGCCGUAGCUAACGCAUUAAGUGCCCCGCCUGGGGAGUACGG